CGCUCCGCAUGGUUGUGCGGAUUUGGAGAGCUCGGCUCUGCAGAGACGCGGAGCCGGCCGUUGUAGGCAUUCACUGACUGUUGAGCCCUCCCACUCCCUGGAGAUGAAACUGUGGGAUGGGCUGCAGGAUCCUCUACGCAGGAGAAGGGAAGAAGUCCAGGCAGCAAUGAGGGUGGCGUCCGCAACGAGCAGGGCCUUCAGGAAUGCAGAAAUAUCCUGGAAGGAGGACAUGUUGGCAGCCCCAGUCAUCCCGCAGCAGCUCUGUGCCCCGCAGCGGCCCCGGAUCAGCUGUUCUGCAUGAGACUCAGCUCCGGCACACCCGUUUCUCCCACCACUGACUUCUUCCUACUUCCCCGACCAAACGCUUCUUGAGCGAGCCUUUCUCAGGAUGAGAGGGCUCGGGGAGUCCUACCUUCAAAAGCCCAUGAGGACGGCACCUGCAAGACAUGGGGCUCUGAUGCCCAGC